AACGAACGCUGGCGGCAUGCCUAACACAUGCAAGUCGAACGAGACCUUCGGGUCUAGUGGCGCACGGGUGCGUAACGCGGGGGAACCUGCCCUUAGGUUCGGAAUAACUCCCCGAAAGGGGUGCUAAUACCGGAUAAUGUCUUCGGACUAAAGAUUUAUCGCCUUUGGAUGGGCCCGCGUUGGAUUAGCUAGUUGGUAGGGUAAAAGCCUACCAAGGCGACGAUUCAUAGCUGGUCUGAGAGGAUGAUCAGCCACACUGGGACUGAGACACGGCCCAGACUCCUACGGGAGGCAGCAGUGGGGAAUAUUGGACAAUGGGCGAAAGGCUGAUCCAGCAAUGCCGCGUGAGUGAUGAAGGCCUUAGGGUUGUAAAGCUCUUUUACCCGGGAUGAUAAUGACAGUACCGGGAGAAUAAGCUCCGGCUAACUCCGUG
rnacentral:rRNA from 1 species